CAUUGAUUAAAUAGAACCGUUGACGAAUUAUUUAAAUCGAAUGUAAAAGGCGAAAUUUUUUUAAAUUUUGAGAAUUGCAACCACUUUCUUUCGUCUUUGUAUCCGGCCUUGCAGGAUCUGACCCCCGUCGAGAGAAAGAGUUGAUGCCCUCUCAGAUAGUCGAGCAAUGCUCACAGCCCACUGUUCUGUUAAUAACAGGUUGAGAUGCCACGAGGUGAAGUACCAUCUUAGGAACAACUGGCUGCCAAGAGAAUAAUGAGGAGCUUACUCAGUCGAACAAAGGCUCUUUCUGAAUGGACUAUUUUAUUUAUAGACGAAAGUCGACCUAGAAGAUAAUGUGGAUAAAAUUGCCAAUGGAGCAGGUUAGAUGGUUUGCAAGGCCUCCUUCAGGGGGUGUUUCUGUUCCGGUGAGCACAAUCGCUGUCAUUGACCGUCUCGACGCCUCCAACCUUGGCCGACAGGUAGACGAGACCUUGACGUUUCUGCGCAUGUUCGGCACUUUCCCUUUUUCGUCCCGCUCCUCCGCCUCUCCAGGGUCCAGUCGGGUCCAAAACACCGACCAUGCCGAAAGCCUUUCUCGUGCGCAAAAAUCGUACCCAUUGUCGUUGGGGGCCAGGGGGCACGGUCACACCGCCCCCCAGCCCGGAACAAAUGAUAGUCGCCGUCACUAAAACGGAUAGUCUACCAGGUAUGUUUUUUUUUUUUUUUUUUUAACGUUUGACAUUUUCGUUAAGUGUACAGAUAAUGUUCCCAGAAUCGUUCUGUUGUUUUCGCUGAGCUUAAAACGUUCUUCUCGUUUUCGCUUCUAAAAACCGUUCGAAUUUUAAUCGUUUAUGAUCCGUAAAACUCCCAUAAGUAGUCAUUAAGUAAGCUUUAUAUAACACUACGUAAAACGAAUAAUCGUGCACACGUGCAGAAGAUAAAACGUUAACUAACGCCAAACAAUUCAUUUGCAUAUCGGUACGGAGAUUUUAGCGUUAUUAUAAGUAUAAAGGUAAAUUACACUCCGAUAUCUCGAUAGUUUCCUCAAUAUAAAUUUAUAUGUAUACGUAUUUUACAUUAUCGUAACUUGUAAAAAAAAUUUAACGAAGAACGAUCGAUAUCCUGUUCGAUUAAAACCAAAUCUUCGGUAAACAAUACGUAGUCUUGGAUUAAAUCCAAAGUUCUGAGAAUAUCCAUUUUCACAUUAACUGAAACUAAUCCUAAAUGUAAUUUAUAAUGGUAUUUUUAAGGUCGGAGACGAAUGCAGUCAUUCUUUCUUAAUGUUUUUUUUAACCGAAACCCAUUUCUGAAAGUCUCUUCCGAGAACUUCUAACCCUUGAAACCCAAAAUGACUCCGACUUACCCAUAACCUUAGUCAGACGAUUUCACUAAAAUAACUGCCAGAUUGAUAACGUAAUCUAUUACAUUUUUUUUCGGUUUUUUUUUUCGAAGGAGGAUGUUCCGUCCCUGACCUCCUUCGAAAUCACGUGAAUUGAGUUCAGGGCCAUCGAUGUCACGUUAAUUUUAUGCGUGCGUUCGUGAAAUGCAUUUUAAGAAGUUGGACCAAAACAAUCGUCAUACAUGUUAUUUUUUUUCGUCAAACUCAAAUUAUGUUAAGAUGGCCUAUUCAAAAAAAAAAAAAA
rnacentral:lncRNA from 1 species